rnacentral:lncRNA from 1 species
UGCAGCCUAGCCAUUGGGAUGCAGUGUGUGCUUACCAAAGGGUUGUAACAGCAUAAUGGCCACCCACCAGAGGAUGCUGAAUCUUCAGGAUGGUGUGGAUUUCAUUUAUGAGAAGCUAUACGCUGACAGAAGCAAACAAACAAAAUAGCUAAAUGGUUACCAAAAAACUGUAAAUAACUAACUCAGACUUGGGAGUGAGGUGAAGUUAAAAAAUAAGGAGGGUUAUGGUCAAGUUUUACAUAAAUACAGUUAUCUAAACACAAAUGCAGUAUGAAUUAGAACAUUAAAAAGUAAGCAAUAUGAUCAAAAAAUAGUUACAGGUUGUGCAAUUUAAAUUAUUAAUGAACAGUGAAACCAAUACUUGCAUUACAAUAUGGACAUACUACAAAGUUGCACAUAGUUAUAGCAAAUUGCUACAUUCCCUUGGAAAACCGGAACGAAAAUACCAGAUUUCAGAUAAAAUCCUCAUUUUGUAAACACUCAAAACAUAAGUGGGCGGCUGGUGACGGUCAUCAAUUUCAGCAUUUCGAAAGUUCAUAUCUGUAACAAAGUCUUUGUGUUGGCAACUCCCAUUGCAUGACAUGUUUAGAUGGUCCACGCUCAAUGAAUCUGAUAGAAAUUAUUAGCACAUGUACAUUUAUCAACCAUUUUAAGGCUCCACAAAUUCUCACUAAAUUCCAGCUGCUUCAAAAUAACACCAACAUUCUACCACAAUGACAAAUUACUAUUCUGUUUAAUAAAUCUAGACAAUGCCUGGUCUGGAUCAGUGUGUGGGAGGGCUGCACAUAAACCAUCCCACUACUUUAGCAUUUAGCCCCGCCCCUAAUCAGUGUGAACCAAUCAAUGGUCUAAUACAGAACAUGCGCGUCACAAAAAAAAAUGACUACACGACAAUGAGUAAUCCCCGCCCCCACAGAGAAGCUCGGCGGCCAUCUUUAUCAGUAAAAACAGGGCGUCGUCAGAAACCGGGGAAUUCCUUGUACAUUGUGUGUCGGAAUAAUAAAUAAUCACUAUUCCCGGCUGUAAUAACCUAAUCUGAUUUAUAUAGGAAAUUAUAAACUGUAACGCGGAUUAAUCCCCAUCUUCAUUAACACGGGUUUAGAGAUUUAUUUAAUGUUAUUAACACCGUGCGGAUCACAGACCGUGAGGUAAUCUCACGAUUAAUAAUAAUCGGGGACUUUAAAUAUUACUCAGAUUAUAUCCCCAAUUAUACACCGUGAUUAUAACACGCUACAACUAUCCGCCCACAAAGCAAUCAUAAUAAAUAUUAAUAAACAUUAACUGGGCGGUAUAGCUGCUGUUAUCGGAUUUAACAAUAAAUACAUUACAUGGGUAGAAUUAUUACCCCCUCCAUGUAAUUUAUAUCUAGACCUUUUAUCCCCGCCAUACAGUAUAAAUAUAAAUAGUCCCUCCAUACAGUAUAAAUAUAACUUAUACCCUCCAUACAGUAUAAAUAUAACUUAUCCCCUCCAUACAGUAUAUAGUUUUUAGUCCCUCCAUACUUUAAAGUUUUUUUCCCUCGGAUACAUAUAAAACCUAUGGCUGUGGUCAGUGUUAUCUAUAUUGAGCAGCUGGAAUUUAGCUUGAAAUACCUGCGGAGACUACAACCGGCGAUGGAGCGUGUAAAACAGCUGAUAAAUAAAAGUAAAACAUGAAAUAACGACGUAAAAGCGAUCAGCCGUUGAGGAUCCUCUUCUUGAUCCGGAGCGCUGCACACCUUCUUCGAUACUGCGACG